rnacentral:rRNA from 1 species
GGAUUUUUAAGUGAGGUGUGAAAGCCCCGGGCUUAACCUGGGAAUUGCAUUUCAGACUGGGAAUCUAGAGUACUUUAGGGAGGGGUAGAAUUCCACGUGUAGCGGUGAAAUGCGUAGAGAUGUGGAGGAAUACCGAAGGCGAAGGCAGCCCCUUGGGAAUGUACUGACGCUCAUGUGCGAAAGCGUGGGGAGCAAACAGGAUUAGAUACCCUGGUAGUCCACGCUGUAAACGCUGUCGAUUUGGGGGUUGGGGUUUAACUCUGACGCCCGUAGCUAACGUGAUAAAUCGACCGCCUGGGGAGUACGGCCGCAAGGUUAAAACUCAAAUGAAUUGACGGGGGCCCGCACAAGCGGUGGAGCAUGUGGUUUAAUUCGAUGCAACGCGAAGAACCUUACCUACUCUUGACAUCCAGAGAAUCCUGUAGAGAUACGGGAGUGCCUUCGGGAGCUUUGAGACAGGUGCUGCAUGGCUGUCGUCAGCUCGUGUUGUGAAAUGUUGGGUUAAGUCCCGCAACGAGCG